rnacentral:antisense_RNA from 1 species
ACUUCACCCUCUGAGUGGCUGCUGUGCAGGCUGGGUGAUCAGAGAAGCAGAGGGCUGAGGCCCAGAAUGGGUUUUCAUGUUCUGUUUCUGCAGAAAGUGAGGCAGCACCCCAUCCUUCCCAACCCCAAUACCUAGAAUGGGGGCCAGAGUAGGGAGGGAAUGUGUGGAUCUGCUUCUGAGAUGGGUCUCACCCCAGCCCCCAAAGCCUGGACCUGAGUCCCCAGGAGACAGGGGCUAUAGGGGAAACUCACCAGGGAAGGGCCCCUUGUGGGGGCCCCACAGCAGGGGCUGGGGGUGAAGGCUCCCCUUCUACCAGACACAAGCACAGGCACACUCCUGGGGGCAGCCUGGCCCAGGCCCAGGUCGUGCAGAGCACAGGGUGCUGCUGGUGGCCACGCCUCUGCUUAGCUUCUGAGGUGGGGGCAGUGGGCUGUGCCUCCUCAAGGACUGAGGUGAGCGGGGGCACAGGGCCAGGUCAGAAGCACAUCCAGACACACAGCUGCUUCAGUAACGAAACCCACAGUCGGCCAGGAAGUAAACAAAUUACAGGCUGCACUUUGUUAGCUCUGGGGAACAUGAGCGCGAGCAGACACUAUUGAUUUCUCAUCAAACAAACAGAAGGCGGCAUCAUAAUCCAGAGACCCACGGCCAGGAGGGGCUGCAGCAUGUGCCCUGGGCUGCUGAUCUGCUGGGGAGCACCUGUCUUUGGGGGCCUUACACCAUUCGUCCAUAAUUCUAGCCUCUGCUCAGUGGUGGAUUUGUUUUCCCUCCUGCAAGCUGGGCUGGGUAAGGCUGAAGCCUCCUGCAAGGCAGUGGCUCAGGUGUCCUUAGGAGACAUACCAGGUCCAGGCCCAGGCUGAACUUCCUGACAACCUUAAGAAGGCAAAGGCCAGGCUCAGAAAGGUCCAACAGCUCACCCAAAACUGCUCUGGAUUUGCUGGAGGCGGAGGGGCAGUGCCUCUCUCCCUGGGUGAAUCAAGGCUGAUGUGGACAGUGAGACCUCCGUCCCCACUGCGAGCAGCAGGGGCAUGCCAAGGUCCUAUCUGCCUGACCAGGGAGCCUCACCCGGCUGUUGCUGGCUGCUUGGUGGGGACUCAGGCUGCAAGAUGCUGAGGAUGUUAUUUAGCAGCAGCAGGAAUAAUAAUAUAAUAAUAAUAUUAAUGAUAGCAACAAUAGUAAAAAUGAUGACAGUGAUAAUAGUUAGCAUUUAUAGAACACCAUACGUGAAGAGCCUUACAUGCAUAUUGUCAUUUAGUCCUUAUUGGAACCCUAUGAGGCUGGUACCAUUAUUUAUCCCCAUUUCACAGAAGGGGAAACUGGAGCUUAGAGCAGUCAAGGUUACUAGACUAGUAACUUUCCAUGGUUCUAGCUAGCAAGUGGCAGACCCCAGGCUCAUGCCCUUCACUAGCAAGCUGUGCCACCUCCUUCCCUCAGGUAGGGGAGGUGUGCGUGCGUUUUGUGUGUUUGUACACAUCGGGCUUGGACCCCUGUGGGGCUGGUGCUGCCCUGCUCCCUUGUGUAGGGGGUUCUGAGAAGCCCUGGGCCCUGCCUAUUUGCAGGCUACUGACUCAACCAUGAGCAGCAAGUGUUUCCUGGGAGGUAACGAGGGGCUAUUCAUCUCUGGUUGCACCCACAAUUACCCAAAUUGCUAACCUUAUUGUGAAAAGUAGAAAUGCAAUUGAGUUGGUGCUGGAGGCAUGUUUGAGGGAGGGGAGAACCACUCCAAGUAAUUUAAUUAACCGAUGGCAAGUACAUUAAGUGGAGUUUUGCCUCUGCUUUUAUUGCUGAUGUCUUUCAGUGGAGCGCCAAGUAAUGCACAUGAAAUGCUCCCACAGACACAGGUGGACCUGUCCCAGUAUGGAUCAAUCUUUCCUGGCCAAACAUGUUUAAAAGCUGGCACUGUACCUUGUGAGCAGGUAGAGUGGAGGACAUCACACUCACAAACAUGCACCCCAACACAGUGCAGUCUUUACAGAUAGGACACUGCUCUUUCUUGCUAAGUUCUCAGACAAGCCCUGGCCAUCGCAGGCCCAGAAAAUGAAGUGUUCUGCCCAUCCAGCAUCUGUCCAGCAAGCACCCACCAGGAUUGUGCUGCAUUGACAUUCAAUGCUGUAGAGGAUACUGGCUAUGUUCACCGUGGCAGGAAAUCACAAGGAAACAAUCCUGUCCAGUGUGACAAGGCUAGGGGAAGGGUACUCCUUGGCAGCUCUGCCCAGGGUAGAACCUCCAGAGUGGCCCCCUCUUUCCAUCUGCUUCCCCCAUGACCCCCGGGAUGUAGCUGAAGGGGCCUAGAGAGUAGGAGAGGACUAACUUUGGUGGUUCCUGCAGCAUUUCAUGCUGGGUCUCUCUCCCCACAAGUCUCAGAGUUGGAAGGGACCUUCAAAGUCACUGGGUUUAGCAGCAUUUAGGUCUUGUGGCUAGCAGCAUUGCUGACCACAGUCCCUGCUUGAGCUUGCACAUGCCCCUUGGGAUAAGGAGCCCAGUGCCUCCUGUGGCGGCUCUCUCCAUGGUGGGGCAGGUUUGAUGGCUGGAAUGGGGUUCCAUCUAAGGGUCCCAAAUUGAUCUCCUUUUGAGGUGCACCUUGUGCUAGUCCAACUCAGGGGGUCACACAGCCCAGGUCAGCUCCCUUUGCCCCAGCCCCUACCCCACCACCUUUGAGAUGUUAGCAGGAACUGACCAUUCAUCCCACGGGUCUUUCUUCUCUGGGCAAGCAUCCCACUGUGGACCAGCUGUCUUGUCCUGAGCCAACAAGGCUAGGCUGCCCUCUCUUCUGCCUGAAAAUUAUAUUCCUGUUACUGUAACCUAAGACCCGUCAGCUGUCCUGGCAGCUCACUACGUGAGUGACAUCACUCUGUCUUCUCACAUGAACUUCUGGGAAGCCACAUCACGUCUUGUGCCAAACCUGGACCAAUAAAUAUCCUUGAAUUAUGCCACUUUUUUAAGUCCAAUAGAAGGGAAGUAUUGCUAAUGUUUUUCUUAUAGAUUAAUUCAUUGAGGAUCGGCAGAUUAAGAAAUUGCUCAAAGUGACAAAGCUGACGUGAGUGAUGUUGGGACCCCAACGGAGGCUGCCUGGUUCCUCAGAGCACAGACAUACCCCCUGAUGUCCACACUAGGCUGCAUGAGCUCAGUUGCUUUCUUCUUCCACACAGC